rnacentral:lncRNA from 1 species
AACGAUCCCUACUUACAUACUUUACUACAUUUGAUAAAAAGAGGGUUUAAUUUUGUGUGUUAACUUAUUUCACGCAUCAAAUUUUGGCGCCGUUGCCGGGGAUUAGCAACUUUGCUAAUCUCUUGGAUUGUUUUCUUUCGAAUUAUUGUAUUUUGUUUAAGUUUCUGUUUAAGUUGCUGAUUUGUUUUGUUUUCUUUGUUUUUAGGUACUAGUUUAUGACCCGUAGCUCACAACCUGUUCGCGAGCAUAUCUCCGACUUUGACGGUGAUUUUGAGAGGACUUUGAGAAGGAAAAAGAAAUUGCAAGAGUCUAAUC